rnacentral:rRNA from 1 species
UACGAAGGGUGCAAGCGUUACUCGGAAUUACUGGGCAUAAAGCGUGCGUAGGUGGUUUGUUAAGUCUGUUGUGAAAGCCCCGGGCUCAACCUGGGAAUGGCAAUGGAUACUGGCAAGCUAGAGUGCGGUAGAGGGUAGUGGAAUUCCCGGUGUAGCGGUGAAAUGCGUAGAGAUCGGGAGGAACACCAGUGGCGAAGGCGGCUACCUGGACCAGCACUGACACUGAGGCACGAAAGCGUGGGGAGCAAACAGG